UACGUAGGUGGCAAGCGUUGUCCGGAAUUAUUGGGCGUAAAGCGCGCGCAGGCGGCUUCUUAAGUCCAUCUUAAAAGUGCGGGGCUUAACCCCGUGAUGGGAUGGAAACUGGGAGGCUGGAGUAUCGGAGAGGAAAGUGGAAUUCCUAGUGUAGCGGUGAAAUGCGUAGAGAUUAGGAAGAACACCGGUGGCGAAGGCGACUUUCUGGACGACAACUGACGCUGAGGCGCGAAAGCGUGGGGAGCAAACAGGAUUAGAUACCCCGGUAGUCCGCUAUGACU
rnacentral:rRNA from 1 species